UCGAACGAAUAGGAUACGUACGCAAAUCCCAUCCUUGUUUUCGUACGAGCCAUUCGUUGUAUUUUCAAUUUACAGUCGUACUAGAUCAAGUUAUUGGUGUACUACAUUAUCGACAUUGUUGACAAUCAGGAGGUGUUUACGUAUCGAACGUGUUCAAUUUAUGAUACAGAGUUAUCUGAACGUUGUAGUUUAUUUUUGUAGUUUUGAUUUGUGCAGUUUAAUAUAAACGAGAUAUAAAGCAGAUAAACUUCCGCUACAGGAACAAGAUCCGGCUAUUCUACAUUGCAGAUUGCCGGCUAUCAUACUAUCGGGCAUGCAACUCAUGUGUCCGCCCUAUUCGCUAUACGACUAGUCAGCUGUUGGCAUUGAGAAAAUUCCUGCUCUGCAACCGCCGUCCGAUAGCAAUAGAUGACCCUAUUGUGUCAAAUUUCGCAGCAAAGUUCCGUCGCAAUUACAAGUUCAGCAACCGAAACAACUACAUAAGUGCAGAUGAACAACGACACCAAGAUACAGCAAACGAGGAAGAGCCAGAAUGGGUGUCGGCAGGACCUACCUUUCGCCUGGACACAAUUUGUAAAUUCGAUGGAGAUAUUUCAAACAACGCCUCACCAAUCGAUUAGUUGACAUGCUAGCACAAAAAGUUAACAGUAGCAUGAUUACUCAGCAACAAAUUCUCAGUGAAAAUCAACAGAAACAAUGAAAAACAACGUUGAGAAUGCAACUGAUCCACCACAAAUGCAACAACAGCAACAAUCAACCCAACAGCCGCGCUAUCCAUCCCAACGUGAGCUGCAGUUCCGUACCCAAUCCAUAAUUCAGAACGCUUUGCUCCGCAAAAAAACUGCAGGAUCAACGUAAGGCGCUUUGUGAUCAGAACGGUCGAAUUGUUGCCGCUGUCGCUGUGAUUAACAACGGCGAAUCAAAUGCAGCUGUGCAGCAAUUCGUACAAUAAAUUUGUCCAAACAUGCAGCGAAGUCUUUUGGUUCAUAGUCACACUGCUAACCGGCUGGUGACAAAUAUCCUAAUGAUACAUAUUUCUCUGCAAAGCCGACUGCAGGAGCCACUACCCUCCGUCACGCAAAAAUUGUGCCAACAGAAACGAGGUGGUCCCAUGAGCGUUAGAACUUCUUAGGAAGCAUCGAAUUCUACAGAUCAAUUCUUACAUGUUACGAGAGAACUGGAUUCUUACAAUGCAUUUAACAUUGCAGAAAUGGUUAUCUCUUGCAACAUUCAAAUUUAAUGUUGUUUUGUACUAUAUAUUACCGUUUUUCAUGAUCAUAUUUCAUAUAUUGUGGUUGUUCUUUUUCUUUUAUUACUAUUUAUAAUAACGUGCUUCGUUUCAUAAUUGUCAUAUUUUUUAGGCAAGCGAAAUUUUGAUACAAAUUCUCACUGCCUGAUUUAUGUUUUGCAAAAUUGUAUCGAUUGAUUUGUCGUUAGGUUCUCCCAUCAAGUUUAUUAGUAUAAGACGAUUGUAAAUUAUAGGAACGAAUGUUCGUUCUUUUCUCUUUGUUAUUUUUUUAGACUGCAAUCGCUAAAUAUUUUCUGGAAAAGCCGUUGUUUAACCUCACCACUAGCAAGCGUUCGCAUCUCAUAUAUUGCAUAAAAACUGUCUCAGUUAUUCUCAUGUGAAACUUUUACCCCUAGCUUUGCUCGAGUCUCGUAUCAAGUAAUCUAGAAACAGCGGCAGCCAAAGAGGAGAGCUGCAGCUGAUCGUUCUAAUGGGGUUCCUCUGUCUGUUAGGUCUGCUCAGUGAUGAAAGCCACGAUGGUGGAGCCAUAAUAGGUUCGCUUGGGGAGCAGGCACCCCGCUGCAGGAUCAGCACGAGCGAAAGAAGCAGUCGAAUAAGCAUUAUGAUCGCAUUCGGAAGAGUUCGAAAUCAACUAACCUAUUCGUUCAUUCGCAGGGCCAACAUUUCUCCAGAUGGUGAUUUGACACUUGGUAGUGUGAAGUCCGAUGGAAAGAUGUGAACGCUAGGAAAUAUCCAACCUGAUAGCACCAACACUAACAUCCCCCUACGCAUACCGCGUUACACCUGAAUAUUCUAUGUUUCAUAUUCAAAAAGUAAUAUAGUUUUGAUAAAACUCUUAAAUAGUUUUGAGAAAUACGCCGUGCAUGACUAUUCGAAUCAAUAUAACGAGAUGUUGUACGAACUUUGUA